rnacentral:rRNA from 1 species
UACAGAGGGGGCAAGCGUUGUUCGGAAUUACUGGGCGUAAAGGGCGCGUAGGCGGCCUUCUAAGUCGAACGUGAAAUCCCCGGGCUCAACCCGGGAACUGCGUCCGAUACUGGAAGGCUUGAAUCCGGGAGAGGGAUGUGGAAUUCCAGGUGUAGCGGUGAAAUGCGUAGAUAUCUGGAGGAAUACCGGUGGCGAAGGCGGCAUCCUGGACCGGCAUUGACGCUGAGGAGCGAAAGCUAGGGGAGCAACGGGG